rnacentral:rRNA from 1 species
UAGGGAAUCUUCGGCAAUGGACGAAAGUCUGACCGAGCAACGCCGCGUGAGUGAAGAAGGUUUUCGGAUCGUAAAACUCUGUUGUUAGAGAAGAACAAGGACGUUAGUAACUGAACGUCCCCUGACGGUAUCUAACCAGAAAGCCACGGCUAACUACGUGCCAGCAGCCGCGGUAAUACGUAGGUGGCAAGCGUUGUCCGGAUUUAUUGGGCGUAAAGCGAGCGCAGGCGGUUUCUUAAGUCUGAUGUGAAAGCCCCCGGCUCAACCGGGGAGGGUCAGUGGAAACUGGGAGACUUGAGUGCAGAAGAGGAGAGUGGAAUUCCAUGUGUAGCGGUGAAAUGCGUAGAUAUGUGGAGGAACACCAGUGGCGAAGGCGGCUCUCUGGUCUGUAACUGACGCUGAGGCUCGAAAGCGUGGGGAGCAAACAGG